GACGAACGCNGGCGGCGUGCCUAAUACAUGCAAGUAGAACGCUGAAGGAGGAGCUUGCUCUUCUGGAUGAGUUGCGAACGGGUGAGUAACGCGUAGGUAACCUGCCUGGUAGCGGGGGAUAACUAUUGGAAACGAUAGCUAAUACCGCAUAAGAGUAGAUGUUGCAUGACAUUUGCUUAAAAGGUGCAAUUGCAUCACUACCAGAUGGACCUGCGUUGUAUUAGCUAGUUGGUGGGGUAACGGCUCACCAAGGCGACGAUACAUAGCCGACCUGAGAGGGUGAUCGGCCACACUGGGACUGAGACACGGCCCAGACUCCUACGGGAGGCAGCAGUAGGGAAUCUUCGGCAAUGGACGGAAGUCUGACCGAGCAACGCCGCGUGAGUGAAGAAGGUUUUCGGAUCGUAAAGCUCUGUUGUAAGAGAAGAACGAGUGUGAGAGUGGAAAGUUCACACUGUGACGGUAUCUUACCAGAAAGGGACGGCUAACUACGUGCCAGCAGCCGCGGUAAUACGUAGGUCCCGAGCGUUGUCCGGAUUUAUUGGGCGUAAAGCGAGCGCAGGCGGUUAGAUAAGUCUGAAGUUAAAGGCUGUGGCUUAACCAUAGUACGCUUUGGAAACUGUUUAACUUGAGUGCAAGAGGGGAGAGUGGAAUUCCAUGUGUAGCGGUGAAAUGCGUAGAUAUAUGGAGGAACACCGGUGGCGAAAGCGGCUCUCUGGCUUGUAACUGACGCUGAGGCUCGAAAGCGUGGGGAGCAAACAGG
rnacentral:rRNA from 1 species